rnacentral:tRNA from 1 species
CGGCGGGUUCCGAGGAUUGGACGGCUCGUCUUCUAAACGAGCGCGCAAGGGUUCGAGUCCCUUCCCGUCGACCA